AGGGUUCGAUUCUGGCUCAGGAUGAACGCUGGCGGCGUGCUUAACACAUGCAAGUCGAACGAGGUUAUUUUUCACGAUCCCCUUCGGGGGUGACGAGGCUUAACCGAGUGGCGGACGGGUGAGUAACGCGUGGGCAACCUGCCCCAUACAGGGGGAUAACAGUUGGAAACGACUGACAAUACCGCAUAAGCGCACGGUACCGCAUGGUACAGUGUAGAAAAACUCCGGUGGUAUGGGAUGGGCCCGCGUCUGAUUAGCUAGUUGGUGGGGUAACGGCUCACCAAGGCGACGAUCAGUAGCCGACCUGAGAGGGUGACCGGCCACAUUGGGACUGAGACACGGCCCAAACUCCUACGGGAGGCAGCAGUGGGGAAUAUUGCACAAUGGGGGAAACCCUGAUGCCAGCGACGCCGCGUGAGUGAUGAAGUUAUUUCGGUAUGUAAAGCUCUAUCAGCAGGGAAGAAAUUGACGGUACCUGACUAAGAACGCCCCGGCUAACUACGUGCCAGCCGCCGC
rnacentral:rRNA from 1 species